AUUGAACGCUGGCGGCAUGCUUUACACAUGCAAGUCGAACGGUAACAGGCCUUCGGGUGCUGACGAGUGGCGAACGGGGGAGUAAUGCAUCGGAACGUACCCAGAGGUGGGGGAUAACGCAGCGAAAGCUGUGCUAAUACCGCAUGUGAUCUGAGGAUGAAAGCGGGGGACCGAGCAGCAAUGUUUGGCCUCGCGCCUUUGGAGCGGCCGAUGUCGGAUUAGCUAGUUGGUGGGGUAAAGGCCUACCAAGGCGACGAUCCGUAGCUGGUCUGAGAGGACGACCAGCCACACGGGGACUGAGACACGGCCCAGACUCCUACGGGAGGCAGCAGUGGGGAAUUUUGGACAAAGGGCGAAAGCCUGAUGCAGCAAGGCCGCGUGCGGGAAGAAGGCCUUCGGGUUGUAAACCGCUUUUGGCAGGAACGAAACGGUGUCCGCUAAUACCGGGCGCUAAUGACGGUACCUGCAGAAUAAGCACCGGCUAACUACGUG
rnacentral:rRNA from 1 species